AAUCAACGCUGGCGGCGUGCCUCAGACAUGCAAGUCGAACGAUUAAAGCUCUCUUCGGAGAGUGUAUAGAGUGGCGCACGGGUGAGUAACACGUAAGUAAUCUACCUUUGAGUGGGGAAUAACCCGGGGAAACCCGAGCUAAUACCGCAUAAUGCAGCGGCACCGCAAGGUGACAGUUGUUAAAGGAGCAAUCCGCUUAAAAAGGAGCUUGCGGCAGAUUAGCUAG
rnacentral:rRNA from 1 species